GCGGCAGCUUACCAUGCAGUCGAGCGGAACGAUGGUAGCUUGCUACCAGGCGUCGAGCGGCGGACGGGUGAGUAAUACUUAGGAAUCUACCUAGUAGUGGGGGAUAGCACGGGGAAACUCGUAUUAAUACCGCAUACGACCUACGGGAGAAAGGGGGCAGUUUACUGCUCUCGCUAUUAGAUGAGCCUAAGUCGGAUUAGCUAGAUGGUGGGGUAAAGGCCUACCAUGGCGACGAUCUGUAGCUGGUCUGAGAGGAUGAUCAGCCACACCGGGACUGAGACACGGCCCGGACUCCUACGGGAGGCAGCAGUGGGGAAUAUUGGACAAUGGGGGAAACCCUGAUCCAGCCAUGCCGCGUGUGUGAAGAAGGCCUUUUGGUUGUAAAGCACUUUAAGCAGUGAAGAAGACUCUUCGGUUAAUACCCGGAGACGAUGACAUUAGCUGCAGAAUAAGCACCGGCUAACUCUGUGCCAGCAGCCGCGGUAA
rnacentral:rRNA from 1 species